UACGUAGGGGGCAAGCGUUGUCCGGAAUCAUUGGGCGUAAAGAGCUCGUAGGCGGCUCAGUAAGUCGGGUGUGAAACCUCCAGGCUCAACCUGGAGACGCCACCCGAUACUGCUGUGGCUAGAGUCCAGUAGGGGAGUGUGGAAUUCCCGGUGUAGCGGUGAAAUGCGCAGAUAUCGGGAGGAACACCAAUGGCGAAGGCAGCUCGCUGGGACGUUACUGACGCUGAGACGCGAAAGCGUGGGGAGCAAACAGG
rnacentral:rRNA from 1 species